rnacentral:snRNA from 1 species
GUGCUCGCUUUGGCAGUGCAUAUACUGGAAUUGGAAAGAUACAGAGAAGAUCAGGAUGGCCCCUGCACAAGGAUGACCAAAAAAAAAAAAAAAAAAAAAAUCCCAUAUAAUU